AACGAACGCUAGCGGCAGGCUUAAUACAUGCAAGUCGUGGGGCAGCAUGAGUGUAGCAAUACAUUUGAUGGCGACCGGCAAACGGGUGCGGAACACGUACACAACCUUCCUAUAAGUGGGGAAUAGCCCAGAGAAAUUUGGAUUAAUACCCCGUAACAUAAUGAUGUGGCAUCACAUUAUUAUUAUAGCUUCGGCGCUUAUUGAUGGGUGUGCGGCUGAUUAGAUAGUUGGCGGGGUAACGGCCCACCAAGUCUACGAUCAGUAGCUGAUGUGAGAGCAUGAUCAGCCAAACGGGCACUGAGACACGGGCCCGACUCCUACGGGAGGCAGCAGUAAGGAAUAUUGGUCAAUGGACGCAAGUCUGAACCAGCCAUGCCGCGUGAAGGAUCAAGGUCCUCUGGAUUGUAAACUUCUUUUAUCUGGGACGAAAAAAGGCGAUUCUUCGUCACUUGACGGUACCAGAUGAAUAAGCACCGGCUAACUCCGUGCCAGCAGCCGCAGUAACAC
rnacentral:rRNA from 1 species